UACGGGGGGGGCAAGCGUUGUUCGGAAUUACUGGGCGUAAAGGGCUCGUAGGCGGCCAACUAAGUCAGACGUGAAAUCCCUCGGCUUAACCGGGGAACUGCAUCUGAUACUGGAUGGCUUGAGUUUGGGAGAGGGAUGCGGAAUUCCAGGUGUAGCGGUGAAAUGCGUAGAUAUCUGGAGGAACACCGGUGGCGAAGGCGGCAUCCUGGACCAAUACUGACACUGAAAAGCGAAAGCCAGGGGAGCAAACGGG
rnacentral:rRNA from 1 species